GGUGAUUGAUGGCAGGCAGCGUGGGGCUGUUGCUGAUGGAGUCCUUAAAUAGAACACCAGACAACUUUGGAUAUACCUGACAUUGGGAGUUCUGAUUCUUUGUCAUGCCAUGAGUGACAGUUUUGAUGCAGUAUGGACUAAAAUAGCAACAAUGGACAAACAAUAACUUGGUUUUAUAUCCAAAGCAAACAACAGUUUCUUCUAGUCACCUAUAACACUUGAGAUCAGCAUUUGGCUGAAGAAAACCAGACUGACAGUCAAUUCCAAUCAAAGAAAAGCUAAGAGGACAAUGGAGUAGAAAGGAAGUCGCUCAGCAUCAGCCUUCCUGUGAACAUGCUGCCUUAUGGCUUGAGACCAAUGUGUGGGCACUAAUCACCAUCUGGAGAGAGAAUGAGACUCCGG